UGGGGAAUUUUGGACAAUGGGCGAAAGCCUGAUCCAGCAAUGCCGCGUGCAGGAUGAAGGCCCUCGGGUUGUAAACUGCUUUUGUACGGAACGAAAAGCCUGGGGCUAAUAUCCCCGGGUCAUGACGGUACCGUAAGAAUAAGCACCGGCUAACUACGUGCCAGCAGCCGCGGUAAUACGUAGGGUGCAAGCGUUAAUCGGAAUUACUGGGCGUAAAGCGUGCGCAGACGGUUUUGUAAGACAGUGGUGAAAUCCCCGGGCUCAACCUGGGAACUGCCAUUGUGACUGCAAGGCUAGAGUGCGGCAGAGGGGGAUGGAAUUCCGCGUGUAGCAGUGAAAUGCGUAGAUAUGCGGAGGAACACCGAUGGCGAAGGCAAUCCCCUGGGCCUGCACUGACGCUCAUGCACGAAAGCGUGGGGAGCAAACAGG
rnacentral:rRNA from 1 species